UUCACCUGUCCUCAUUCAACCUUUUAUUCUGUUUCAUGUGUGUUUUUUAAAUUUUUUUAAAAACAUUUAUUUAUUUUUGAGACAGAGAGAGAGCAGGAACAGGGGAGGGUCAGAGAAAGAGGGAGACCCACAAUCUGAAACAGGCUCCAGGCUCUGAGCUGUCAGCACAGAGCCCGAUGCGGGGCUCGAACCCACAGACCGUGAGAUCAUGACCUGAGCCGAAGUCGGAUGCCUAACCAACUGAGCCACCCAGGCGCCCCCAUGUGUGUUUCUUAUAAACAAGUUAGAGUUUCCUUUGUUCCUAACAAAGUCUGAUCAUCACAGCUUUUAGGAGAAUUCAGUUGAUCACAUUUGGAAUAAUGAGAUGCUCACUUCCCAACUACUACUUCCAAACAGCAUUCUCCACACCUUCUCUUACCCCAAUAAGAUAUUUCUAAGUAUUUUUACUCCCUCCACUUUCCUCCACUCCAUGCAAUUAUUUUUACUGAAUUAAUUUAUCUUCGGUUAUAGCCUGGCAUCAGGAUUUCUCUUUCAGCCUGUCUAUCUUAAUUCAAACAUACUUAUUUAGAACUUGUUACACAUUUGCAGAGAGCCUGUCUUCCUCCAUCUUAGUUCCUCCGUGGGUUCAUUCUUUACAUCAGUCUCCUCUUGAUCUUUCUUCAUCUGGUGUUUGUCUGGGAUCCUUUCCUCAAAUCUGUUGCUUAGAGGGUGCAGGUGAGUGAUACACUCUCUGAAUUCUUGCACAUACUGUAUCUUUGUUUUGUCCUGCCAGGUAAAGGAUAUCUUAGCUGGGAAUAGGAUUCUUGGAUCUCAGCCAUGUAGAUGCCAUAGUCUGCCAGCUCCUGUUACAGGGUUUAAUUCUGUAAUGCAUCCCUGGAUGAGAAAGGCAGAGCCAGGCACGCCCAACACAGGGGUGAUGUUGACCUUCUCUGACAGGUGGAGAGGGGGGGAUCCCACAGAGCUCCUGUGACCAAACUCUUUCAAAGAGGAAGCACAGUGCAGUGGCUGAGUAUUGGGCUGCAGAGCCACACUGUCUGGGUUGGGACAUGGGCAAAUUAGUGAACUUUGCUGUGUCCUAGCAUACUGUAAGCACUCAGUAAAUGUGCUUCCACUUAUGGACAUAACUAGUGCUCCUACUUUUCCUUCCUUACAGGCUCACAUCUAGCACAUGCUUUGACACUGUUUUCCAGCCUGCCCAGCUCAAGGUGAAGAAAGUCCUGGAUCAGGAGAGGUGGGGCCUGGAAGCCACAUUCUGGUUGUCCUGACAUCAGAAUCUUAUCCAUCAUCAGUAUUAUCUUUUAAAGUUUCUAAAGAAGAGGUAAGAAAGAAUUCCAAUCUGAUGAAAGGUAUCAAUCCACACAGUCAAGAACCACUAGGACUUACAAAUCAGAAUAAAUACAAAGAAUACCGUACCUGGGCACAUCACAGUAAAACUGCUAAAGACCAAAGAGAAAAUCUGAAAAGCAGUCAAAACAAAUGAUACAUGACCUUCAGAAGGGUGACAAUAAGACUGACAGGUGACCUAUUAACAAAAACAGUGGAAGACAAGGUAACAGCAUCUUAAAAUGCUGAGGAUAAUUUACCAAGGUAGAAUUCUAUAUCCAGUGAAAAUAGUUUUUAAAAAUAAAAGGCAAAGUUAUUUUUAAACAAACAGAAACUCAGGAUGUGUUGCCAGCAGAUCUGCACUAAAAGAACUAUUAAAGAAACGUCUUCAUUUACAUUGAAAACGAUCCCAGACAGAACUGUGUGCUUCAGGAAUGAAUAAGGAGUAGUGAGAAAGUAAAUAUGGAGGUGAAUAUAAAUGACUAUCAACUAUACAAAAUAAUACUAACUCAUGUCUUGUGGGGUUAAAUUAUAUACAGAGUUAAAAUUCAUUCCCACAAUAAUGCAAAAGGCAGGAGAGGAGUUUAAGGGGUUAGUGUUGUAUGGUUCUAUCAUUAUUAGGGAAGUGAAGUAAUUUGUACAGGACUAUAUUGAGGCAAGGAUGCAUGUUAUAAUCUCUAUGGUGGUAAUAAUAGUAACAGAACGAAAAUGUUUGACUAAUCCAAAAGAAAGUAAAAAGGAGAAAAAAGCAGAACAGUUAUGUCAAAUGAGAAAACCAGAAAAUGGAAGAUUUAACUAUAUAAUUGCAUUAAAUAUAAAUGGAUCAAAUGAUCCAAGUCAAAGAUGAAGAUUAUUAUACUACAUAAAGGCCGAAACCCAAAUACAUGGAGUUUGGAAAAUUAUACCAUGUUAACACUAAUCAAAGGAAAUCUCAUCUGUCUAUACUAGAAUUAGGCAAAAAUAGACUUUCAGGCAAGAAGUAUUGCCAGAGAUAGAGAUAUUUUCUAAGAACAAAGAAGUCUUUGUCCCAGGAAGUUAUUACAAUUUUAAAGCAAAAGUGGUAGAAUUUUACAUAAAUCUACAAUCACAGUGCUGGACUUCAACAACACCUUUCAGCACCUGACAGACUCCGUGAACAAUGAAAAAAUCACUUAGAAGAUCUGAACAAUGCAAUGAAGAUACUUGACAUAAUUGACAUAUAUAUAGAAAACUAUACCACCCAUUAGAAUACACAUUCUUGUAAAGUACAUAUGCAGCAUUUACCCCAUUGAUCAUCAGCUGGGUCAUAAAGCAAGCUUCAAUGAAUUUUCAAGGAUUGAAAUGAUUGAGAGUAUGCUCUCUGGCCAGAAAAAUCAGUAACAGAAAGUCUUCUCCUGUACUGCCUAGGAGAAACCACAACCCUGCUUAUAUCCAAAUUUCUCCCUACAAAGACCCUGCACCUGGGCAUUGCUGGAAAGUAAAACACAAUCCUGCUCACAUUUCGUCCAGCAGUCCUCUAACAGUUCCCCGGUCAGGUCAAUCUCACGUGCAACCUUCACCUUUCUCUCCAAACCUCCAGGCUUAGUGAUGAUUUUCAACCAGAAGAGAUGUUCAUCCAACUACAACCAAAUGUAACUGUCACCUAUUUGUAAGCAUACCUGAAUAGUCUCUAUUUUUCUCCUGUUACAUCAAAGAAUGUGCUUUUAUCUAAAGCUAGCAUCUCUACUUCUCUGCCCUGGAUUCCAAUGACUCCUGCGUACUUUAAUGAUGCAGAACAAAGCCAAGAUGUGUGGGAGGUUUUUUUUUUUAUAUAUUUUUUUUAGCAUUACAUACAUACAUAUAUACAUAGAUACAUACAUAUGCUGUAAUGUCAACUAGUCUAAAAAAGUUUCUUUGGCAUGUUCUUCUAGCUACUGCCUCAUUUGACUCCUUUUACUCAUAUUUACAUCAAAACUCCCCCAAAUGGUUGGCUGUAUUCACUAUCUCUAAUACCUCAAGCUUGUAUUCCAUUUCAUUUUAUCUGCUCUUGCCAAGGUGAUCCACAUGAUAUCAAAUUGAAUGGUCAGUGACAUGCAAAUGGUCUCUGCUAUAUCUGACACCACUGACCACAAACUCUUCCUUAAGGCAUUCUUCUUUUGGGGUGCCUGGGUGGCUCAGUUGGUUAAGCAUCUGACUUUGGCUCAGGUCAUGAUCUCAGAGUUUGUGAGUUUGAGCCCCAAGUCAGGCUUCCUACAGAGCCUGCUUUGGAUCCUCUGGCUCCCUGUCUCUCUGCCCCUCUCCUGCUCACACAGCUUUCUAACCCUCUCUCUGUCUGAAAAAUAAAUAAACAUUUAAAAAAACUCUUCUUUUGGUUUCUGGCAUCCUCCCCUUGUCCCCCGCAGCCCCCAAUUUUCUUUGUACCUUUCAGGCUACUCCUGCUUGGUCUCCUUGUUGGCUUCUUCUCUCCUUCCUGAUCCUUAAGUGUUGGAGUGCUUUAGGGCUCCAACCUUGACCUCUUCUCUAUGGAUUUAGCAGUUUGUAUGGUGAUGAUACCCACACUGACAUCUCUGGCCUAGACCUCACCUUGGACUCCAGACCCGUUUAUCCAAUCGCUUGACAUCUCUGCUUACAUUUAUAACAGCACUUUAAACUUAACAGACCUAAAUCCAAAUGCCUAAUUUUCCUGUCUACCUCUUCCAGGGCAUGCACCUUCUACUGGCCCUAAAUCUCUAUAUGGUACAUUCAUUUCCUAUUGCUGUGGUAACACCUUACUACAAACUCAGUAGCUUAAAACAACACAUAUUUGUUUUCUUAUAGUUUUGGAGGCAGAAAGUCUGAAAUUAAUUUCACGGGGCUGAACAAGUAUGUCGGCAAGGCAGUGCUCCUUCUAGAGGCUCUGGGAGAGAAAGUGUUUUCUGGAAUUUUCCAGCCUUGAGAGCUGCAUUUCUUAGCUCGUGGCCCCUUCCCUCUUCUUCAGAGCCAGCAGUGUGCUUUAGUCCUCACAUUGCCUUUCUCUGAUAAGGAUACUUCCACUUGGAUUCAGGGCUCCACAGUAGAAAUCCAUAAUGUAAUUUUAUCUGCUGACUACCAUUUGCCCUAUAAGGCGAUGUUCCUAGGUUCUGGGGUUUAGGAAGUGGCCAUCUUGGGGCCAUUAGUCAUUCCACCACACACCAUC